CCUACGGGUGGCAGCAGUGGGGAAUAUUGCACAAUGGGGGAAACCCUGAUGCAGCGACGCCGCGUGAGUGAAGAAGUCUUUCGGUACGUAAAGCUCUAUCAGCAGGGAAGAAAAUGACGGUACCUGACUAAGAAGCCCCGGCUAACUACGUGCCAGCAGCCGCGGUCAUACGUAGGGGGCACGCGUUAGCCGGAUUUACUGGGGGUAACGGGAGCGUAGACGGCAGCGCAAGUAUGGAGUGAAAGCCCAGGGCUUAACCAUGGAACUGCUUUGGAAACUGUGCAGCUGGAGUGCAGGAGAGGUGAGCGGAAUUCCUAGUGUAGCGGUGAAAUGCGUAGAUAUGAGGAGGAACACCAGAGGCGAAGGCGGCUUACUGGACUGUAACUGACGUUGAGGCGCGAAAGCGUGGGGAGCAAACAGGAUUAGAUACCCGAGUAGUC
rnacentral:rRNA from 1 species